GGGGGCGUACUGGUUUCGACUUUGCAGAUACGCCAGAGGCGGCAUGCCGAGGACGGUUCGUUGGCCUCGUAAAUCAUUCGAACCAAAAGAUAACUGCUAACGAAGAAUUAGCUCUCGCGGCCUAAGUUGCUGCGACGUUCGCCGGUGGACACCUGCUACGCUGGAUGAACGCUAUAGCAGGUUAGGUCAGGCGCGGAGUCUGCGCGCGACUGGCUGAAACUCUUUUCAUGCGGGCUAGGCUGGGCGACUCGGUGUCAGGCCGUUAUUGCUCGGAAGAAAACUUGCUCCUGACUAAGCAUGUAGUCGCGGCUGGUAGAUUUGUUAAGGACGCGGGUUCAACUCCCGCCGCCUCCACCA
rnacentral:tmRNA from 1 species